rnacentral:rRNA from 1 species
CCUACGGCGGCAGCAGUGGGGAAUAUUGGACAAUGGGCGAAAGCCUGAUCCAGCCAUGCCGCGUGUGUGAAGAAGGCCUUCGGGUUGUAAAGCACUUUCAGUGGGGAAGAAAGCCUUGGGGCUAAUACCCUCGAGGAAGGACAUCACCCACAGAAGAAGCACCGGCUAACUCCGUGCCAGCAGCCGCGGUAAUACGGAGGGUGCGAGCGUUAAUCGGAAUUACUGGGCGUAAAGCGCGCGUAGGCGGUCUGAUAAGCCGGUUGUGAAAGCCCCGGGCUCAACCUGGGAACGGCAUCCCGGAACUGUCAGGCUAGAGUGCAGGAGAGGAAGGUAGAAUUCCCGGUGUAGCGGUGAAAUGCGUAGAGAUCGGGAGGAAUACCAGUGGCGAAGGCGGCCUUCUGGACUGACACUGACGCUGAGGUGCGAAAGCGUGGGUAGCAAACAGGAUUAGAUACCCGAGUAGUC